rnacentral:rRNA from 1 species
GACGAACCGUGCGAACGUUAUUCGGAAUCACUGGGCUUAAAGCGCGUGUAGGCGGCCCGGCACGUCCGACGCUGAAAGCCCCCGGCUCAACGGGGAAGGGGCGCGGAUACGACCGGGCUGGAGGGGGGUAGGGGGCGCCGGAACUGCCGGUGGAGCGGUGAAAUGCGUUGAGAUCGGCAGGAACGCCCGUGGCGAAAGCGGCCCGCUGGCCCCUCUCUGACGCUGAGGCGCGAAAGCCAGGGGAGCAAACGGG